rnacentral:lncRNA from 1 species
AUAUUUUAGGUCAGAUUCUUGUACUUCCCAUUUUUAAACAACUGCCAAGCAUUUGUUUUUAUAUCUCCUAGACAUCUGUGCUAUUGGUGAGUACUAUUUCUAGCUAUUGACUGUCCUAAAAUAAAGGUAACAUUUCUGGGUGAUUUAUAGUCUAUCAUUAUUACAGUGCAGCCUCUGAAUGCAUGAACUAGAGAUUUACUGCACGCUUGUGUCUUAUCCCCGACUCGUGUAAUAGAGAAAAGGUAAAAUGUCUUGGCUUCGUGAUGGCUCCCUUCUUCAAGCAGCUGUCUUUUUUGGUGUGGUGCUUGCAGCUUGAUUAAACUACAUCGAGAAGGUCACUUGGAAUUCAUUUUGUCUACAUCCUGGACUGCACGUAGGGAGACAAAAAAAAACCGCCUGGGAUUGGAGAGGAGGAAUGUGGCAGGGCAUGGGAAUCGCAGUGUCCUGGUGGUCACCGAGCAUAUUUUGGCUUGUCUUAAAACAAGCAAGCACCGUUGGACCUUUGGAAUCCUAACAAGUGAAGAAAUAUUAUUUCCUUCCUGACUCGCUGAAAAUUCAAGUAGAGAAGACCGUGAAGAAUCUGGGCAAUAUUUCUCAUAUUUAGUUCUGUAAGAUUUUAUUUAGUUGUGCUCUGACCCUGGGUACUCUUGAGAGCUAAGAGAUAUAGAAAAUGUCUUUUGGAGUUUGAGAACCGGGGUUCAAAAUCCUAAUCCUGUCUCCUUUUAUCCAUAGGAUUUGGGCAAGUUACUUAAGGUCUAUCACCAUUUUCUUACCUGUAAAAUGGACUUAAUAAUAGUAUCUACCUGAAAGCAUUAUUGGAAGGAGUAAAUGAAUACUUCAUCUAUAGAACAAUGUCUGUCACAAGAUAAGAAAUUUCAUUCUUAUUAUAGCCCCAUCAGUUGAUAUGUAUUACAGCAUCUAGGACUCUGAUAUGUAAAUUUUACUUAGACACUUUUAUUCCUUUGUAUGUUUUUAAGAGUAAUGCCUGGAGACACUUUUCAUCUUAAUGUAACAUCACAGUGUUUCAUUCAAAGUUACUCCAUAAACAUUUGUGAA